GACGGAGGGCGCAAGCGUUGUUCGGAAUUACUGGGCGUAAAGGGCUCGUAGGCGGCCAACUAAGUCAGACGUGAAAUCCCUCGGCUUAACCGGGGAACUGCAUCUGAUACUGGAUGGCUUGAGUUCGGGAGAGGGAUGCGGAAUUCCUGGUGUAGCAGUGAAAUGCGUAGAUAUCAGGAGGAAUACCGAUGGCGAAGGCAGGUCUCUGGGCUAUAACUGACGCUCAUGCACGAAAGCGUGGGGAGCAAACAGG
rnacentral:rRNA from 1 species